rnacentral:lncRNA from 1 species
AUGUAUAUCCUUGUUAUUUAAAGUUUACAAUAUACAUAUCAAAAUACAUUAGUUAUUCUGAACAAAAAAUAAUACAUUAAUGAAAUUUUAAACAAUAGUGCAACACUGUAAUUUAUAUUUAAGAAUUACAUAAUAAUUUUAAAUAAUAUAAAAAAAUUGUAAGAAUUUUGGGAGUCCAUGACCGCUCAUCCCUUACUAAGGAUCCGCCCCUAGGCCAAGGUAACGAGAAGAUGGUUGGGGUUAGAGCAAUAGUGGAAGCUUGCUUGGCUUCCUGAAAGGAUUCCGUGACUCAUUUCUUGCUUUGUUGUUUCUUUCUACGUUAACAAGAUUUGUUUGCCUGCAGUUUAUUCGUUUUUCGAGUGUCUAGCUUUUAAAUUGGGAGAAGACUCGAUAGAAGUUUCUACGUCUGCUUCACAUGGCGAUUGGUUGGGCUAUUUCCUUCCUAUGGGCCAGUGGGUAAUGGGUUUUAGCUAGCAGUCCACAUGAUUGAAAAAACUUUGUCCAUUAUUGAUUUUUUGGUGAUGUUAGCUAUGAAUGUGACAGCGAGAUAUGUGAUUAUUAAAAAUAUAAUUAUUGAAAAGAUAAUUUGGUACCGUUUAAUUCAUAUGUUUUUUAUUUUAAAAUUAAUAUAUGAUUUAUCAAUUAUACAUUUAAUUAUUUUUUAUUUUAUUCAAUAAAUAAAAUUAAUUUAUUUGGCAUGUAGAACUCCAUUUUUUUCUUUUUCUUUCUUUUCUUUUUUUUUUCUCCUUCUUUCUUACAUCCAUCAUCAGAUUCAGUAGUCCAUUCCUGGGCAAUGCAAAGUCCACUGACAACAAAACACCCAACACAGACAUAACAACAGCAAUUCCUAAUCAAAACUUCAUUGGCAACAAACCAAAGACAAAAAGGAAAACAAAGACAUGAAAACAGAAUUCAAAAGCCCAAUUUCAAUCAGUGAUGAACUAUCAAAUUGGAUAGACAAACCUCAACUUCAAAGAAUCAAAUCUGAUAUCUGCAAGAUAUGAGAAUAUAAACCAUAGACCAACUAGCCACCUUCAUCUUGAACCACAAACAAUAAUAGAUUUGAAUCUUGAACCACAAAUAAUAGCUAAUUUGAUAUAGGUGAGCGGUUAGGGCAAGAAAAAGAAGAAAAGAAAGGAUGGGUUGAGAGAAAGGAUACAGGUGAGCGGCUAGGGCAAAGAUUGGGCUAUGGUAGGAGAAUUUGGGAAAGAAAAAGAAUGUAACUUUGCAAAGGGGAAUUUAAUUUACAUCCGUGAUGGAAGGGAAUCACG